GCCGUAGCAAUACGGAGUGGCAGACGGGUGAGUAACGCGUGGGAACAUACCCCUCGGUUCGGAAUAACUUAGGGAAACUUGAGCUAAUACCGGAUACGUCCGAGGUUUUAAUCGACCUCGGAGAAAGAUUUAUCGCCGGAGGAUUGGCCCGCGUCUGAUUAGCUUGUUGGUGAGGUAAUGGCUCACCAAGGCGACGAUCAGUAGCUGGUCUGAGAGGACGAUCAGCCACAUUGGGACUGAGACACGGCCCAAACUCCUACGGGAGGCAGCAGUGGGGAAUAUUGGACAAUGGGCGAAAGCCUGAUCCAGCCAUGCCGCGUGAGUGAUGAAGGCCUUAGGGUUGUAAAGCUCUUUUACCCGGGAAGAUAAUGACGUUACCGGGAGAAUAAGCCCCGGCUAACUUCGUGCCAGCAGCCGCGGUAAUACGAAGGGGGCUAGCGUUGUUCGAAAUUACUGGGCGUAAAGCGCACGUAGGCUGAUCUUUAAGUCAGGGGUGAAAUCCCGAGGCUCGACCUCGGAACUGCCUUUGAUCUGGGGAUAUCGAGUCGGGAGAGGUGAGUGGAACUGCGAGUGUACAGGUGAAAUUCGUAGAUUUCACAAGAACACCAGUGGUCAAGCGGCUCAUGGCCGGUACUGACGCUGACGUGCAAAGCGUGGGGAGCAACAGGAUAGAUACCCUGGUGGCCACGCCUUAACGAUGGUGCUACCGUUGACCCUUGCUGUUAGUGGCACGUUACGCCUUAACAUCCGCCUGGGAGUACGGCGCAGAUUAAACUCAAGGAUUGACGGGG
rnacentral:rRNA from 1 species